AACGAACGCUGGCGGCGUGCUUAACACAUGCAAGUCGAACGCGAAAGGGACUUCGGUCCUGAGUAAAGUGGCGCACGGGUGAGUAACGCGUAGAUAACCUGUCUUCAUGUCUGGAAUAAUACGCCGAAAGGGGUACUAAUACCGGAUAUUCUUGCUUUUCAUAAGUUAUGCAAGCAAAGGUGGCCUCUGCAUAUGCUACUGCAUGAAGAGGGGUCUGCGUACCAUUAGCUAGUAGGUGGGGUAAUGGCCUACCUAGGCGACGAUGGUUAGCGGGUCUGAGAGGAUGAUCCGCCACACUGGCACUGGAACACGGGCCAGACUCCUACGGGAGGCAGCAGUGAGGAAUAUUGCGCAAUGGGGGAAACCCUGACGCAGCGACGCCGCGUGAGUGAGGAAGGCCUUCGGGUCGUAAAGCUCUGUCAAGAGGAAAGAAGUGUACAAUGGCUAAUACCUGUUGUAUUUGACGGUACCUCUAAAGGAAGCACCGGCUAACUCCGUGCCAGCCGCAGC
rnacentral:rRNA from 1 species